rnacentral:rRNA from 1 species
AACGAACGCUGGCGGCAUGCCUAACACAUGCAAGUCGAACGAAGGCUUCGGCCUUAGUGGCGCACGGGUGCGUAACGCGUGGGAACCUGCCCCUCGGUUCGGAAUAACAGUUAGAAAUGACUGCUAAUACCGGAUGAUGACUUCGGUCCAAAGAUUUAUCGCCGAGGGAUGGGCCCGCGUAGGAUUAGCUAGUUGGUGGGGUAAAGGCCUACCAAGACGACGAUCCUUAGCUGGUCUGAGAGGAUGAUCAGCCACACUGGGACUGAGACACGGCCCAGACUCCUACGGGAGGCAGCAGUGGGGAAUAUUGGACAAUGGGCGAAAGCCUGAUCCAGCAAUGCCGCGUGAGUGAUGAAGGCCUUAGGGUUGUAAAGCUCUUUACCAGGGAUGAUAAUGACAGUACCUGGAGAAUAAGCUCCGGCUAACUCCGUG